AGACAAUUAUUUCUAAACUAUCCGGUCUGGAUGACUGGAUGGCAGGUACAGGCCGAGCGAGACGCUUUCCAUUGAAGACGAUUCUCGUGAGGAACUUGGGAAAGAAAGGCAAGGAGAGCUUGCUUGUCUUGUACAGGCUCUGAGCUGACCAGGCCAUGGCUCGGUAAUAGCAGAAAGGAAACAAAGAUGACAACGGUGGGAGAGAAAUACUAUGCUACAAAGAUUUAGUCAAAUCUGAGUGGGAAGUGUUUGUUUGCUUCCCACAAUUCACAUGCUCGCUCUGUAGAUUGGCUUCUAUUUUUGCCUCAAGCAUGCUUGACUUGCCAAAAAGUGAGGCUCUCACAAGGAGGAAAGUGAAUCACUGCUCUAUAAUGGUAGCUUCUGUAAAACUCCUUACUCUUCACAAGAACACCAAAAAUAAAGACUGGACAGUUGUGUUACCUUUGAACUAACAUGAUUCCCUUUUUUCCCCCCGUUAAAUGGGAGCAAGAUUGUUGGUUUUUGCUCUUUUUAGGGAGCGAGUUGGCCAAAUUAUUGACAGUUUGUUGAGUUUGAUUCAAAUGCAUUAAAAUCUAAGUUUUUUUGCAUUGUUGACGACUAUUUUAUUUAUUUAUUUAUUUAUUUGAACUCAUAUGAUCAAUUUGUAAAGAUAAAUACCAGUGAAAGAGAUAUAAUCUUAUUUUGUUUUUAUCUAUGUUGGAGUUUUCUAA